GACGAACGCUGGCGGCGUGCUUAACACAUGCAAGUCGAACGGUAAGGCCCUUCGGGGUACACGAGUGGCGAACAGGUGAGUAACACGUGGGUGAUCUGCCCUGCACUUCGGGAUAAGCCUGGGAAACUGGGUCUAAUACCGGAUAGGACCACUGCCUGCAUGGGUGGAGGUGGAAAGCUUUUGCGGUGUGGGAUGGGCCCGCGGCCUAUCAGCUUGUUGGUGGGGUGAUGGCCUACCAAGGCGACGACGGGUAGCCGGCCUGAGAGGGUGACCAGCCACACUGGGACUGAGAUACGUGCCAGACUCCUACGGGAGGCAGCAGUGGGGAAUAUUGCACAAUGGGCGCAAGCCUGAUGCAGCGACGCCGCGUGAGGGAUGGCGGCCUUCGGGUUGUAAACCUCUUUCAGCACCGACGAAGCGCAAGUGACGGUAGGUGCAGAAGAAGGACCGGCCAACUACGUGCCAGCAGCCGCAGUAA
rnacentral:rRNA from 1 species